rnacentral:rRNA from 1 species
GCAAGAUUAAAACUCAAAGGAAUAGACGGGGACCCGCACAAGCGGUGGAGCAUGUGGUUUAAUUCGACGAUACGCGAAGAACCUUACCUGGCCUUGACAUAGACAGAAUUUUCCAGAGACGGAGAAGUGCUAGUUUACUAGAACUGUCAUACAGGUACUGCACGGCUGUCGUCAGCUCGUGUCGUGAGAUGUUGGGUUAAGUCCCGCAACGAGCGCAACCCUCGUGUUUAGUUACUAACAGUUCGGCUGAGGACUCUAAACAGACUGCCUGGGUAACCAGGAGGAAGGUGAGGACGACGUCAAGUCAUCAUGGCCCUUACGGCCAGGGCUACACACGUGCUACAAUGGGGUGUACAAAGAGCUGCAAUACGGUGACGUGGAGCAAAUCUCAUAAAAUAUCUCCCAGUUCGGAUUGAAGUCUGCAACUCGACUUCAUGAAGUUGGAAUCGCUAGUAAUCGUAGAUCAGCAAUGCUACGGUGAAUACGUUCCCGGGUCUUGUACUCACCGCCCGUCACACCAUGGGAAUUGAAUUCAUUCGAAGCGGGGAUGCUAAAAUAGCUACCUUCCACAGUGGAUUUAGUAACUAGGGUGAAGUCGUAACAAGGUA